CCUACGGGAGGCAGCAGUAGGGAAUAUUGGGCAAUGGAGGCAACUCUGACCCAGCCAUGCCGCGUGCAGGAAGAAGGCGUUAUGCGUUGUAAACUGCUUUUAUAUAGGAAGAAAUAGUCCUUGCGAGGAAAGUUGACGGUACUAUAUGAAUAAGCACCGGCUAACUCCGUGCCAGCAGCCGCGGUAAUACGGAGGGUGCAAGCGUUGUCCGGAUUUAUUGGGUUUAAAGGGUGCGUAGGCGGUUUAUUAAGUCAGUGGUGAAAGACGGUCGCUCAACGAUUGCAGUGCCAUUGAUACUGGUAGACUUGAGUGGGAUUGAGGUAGCUGGAAUGGAUAGUGUAGCGGUGAAAUGCAUAGAUAUUAUCCAGAACACCAAUUGCGUAGGCAAGUUACUAAGUCUCAACUGACGCUGAGGCACGAAAGUGUGGGUAUCAAACAGGAUUAGAUACCCUGGUAGUCCACACUGUAAACGAUGAUAACUAACUGUUGGCUUUCGGGUCAGUGGUACAGAGAAAUCGUUAAGUUAUCCACCUGGGGAGUAACGCCGGCAACGGUUGAAACUUCAAAUGAAUUGACGG
rnacentral:rRNA from 1 species